UGAUUAUGAUGAUGAUGAUGAUGAUGAUGAUGAUGAUGAUCAUGAAUAUGAUCAUCAUCAUGAUCAUCAUUACCAUCGUCGUCGUUAUCAUUUUCU
rnacentral:pre_miRNA from 1 species